UACGUAGGUGGCAAGCGUUGUCCGGAUUUACUGGGCGUAAAGAGCGCGCAGGCGGUCGGAUAAGUCGAAUGUGAAAGCCCCCGGCUCAACUGGGGAGGGUCAUUCGAUACUGUUCGACUCGAAGGCAGGAGAGGGAAGUGGAAUUCCCGGUGUAGUGGUGAAAUGCGUAGAUAUCGGGAGGAACACCAGUGGCGAAGGCGGCGUCCUGGACCAACACUGACACUGAUGAGCGAAAGCCAGGGGAGCAAACGGG
rnacentral:rRNA from 1 species